rnacentral:piRNA from 1 species
UAACUACUGAUCAGUGAUGGCUCCC